UAAAUGAAAGCCAAAAAUUGGAGGCAUCUAGCUGUUAAUUAGAAAAUUGUGAGCUUUCACUCAUUUAA
rnacentral:tRNA from 1 species